CUCGUAGGUGGUUUGUCGCGUUGUUCGUGAAAACUCACAGCUUAACUGUGGGCGUGCGGGCGAUACGGGCAGACUAGAGUACUGCAGGGGAGACUGGAAUUCCUGGUGUAGCGGUAGAAUGCGCAGAUAUCAGGAGGAACACCGGUGGCGAAGGGCGGGUCUCUGGGCAGUAACUGACGCUGAGGAGCGAAGCGUGGGUAGCGAACA
rnacentral:rRNA from 1 species